rnacentral:rRNA from 1 species
AUUGAACGCUGGCGGCAGGCCUAACACAUGCAAGUCGAGCGAGCGGCGGACGGGUGAGUAAUGUCUGGGAAACUGCCUGAUGGAGGGGGAUAACUACUGGAAACGGUAGCUAAUACCGCAUACCAUCAGAAGGGACCAGAUGGGAUUAGCUGGUCGGUGGGGUAACUGCUCACCUAGGCGACGCUACCUAGCUGGUCUGAGAGGAUGACCAGCCACACUGGAACUGAGCCACGGUCCAGACUCAUCCGGGAGGCAGCAGUGGGGAAUAUUGCACAAUGGGCGCAAGCCUGAUGCAGCCAUGCCGCGGGUGUGAAGAAGGCCUUCGGGUUGUAAAGCACUUUCAGCGGGGAGGCGUUACCCGCAGAAGAAGCACCGGCUAACUCCGUGCCAGCAGCCGCGGUAAUUC